rnacentral:rRNA from 1 species
CCUACGGGUGGCAGCAGUGAGGAAUAUUGGUCAAUGGACGCAAGUCUGAACCAGCCAUGCCGCGUGCAGGAUGACGGCUCUAUGAGUUGUAAACUGCUUUUGUACGAGGGUAAACCCCGAUACGUGUAUCGGGUUGAAAGUAUCGUACGAAUAAGGAUCGGCUAACUCCGUGCCAGCAGCCACGGUAAUACGGAGGAUCCGAGCGUUAUCGGGUUUUUUGGGUUUAAAGGGUGCGGAGGGGGGUUGAUAAGGUAGAGGGUAAAUGUCGGGGGUCAACCCCCGAACUGCCUCUAAGACUGUUGGACUAGAGAAGAGGUGCGGUAGGCGGAAUGUAUGGUGUAGCGGUGAAAUGCUUAGAGAUCAUACAGAACACCGAUUGCGAAGGCAGCUUACCGACCUAUAUCUGACGUUGAGGCACGAAAGCGUGGGUAGCAAACAGGAUUAGAUACCCGAGUAGUC